GAUGAAAGCUGGCGGUCUGCUUAACACAUGCAAGUCGAACGGGCUCUUCGGAGCUAGUGGCGGACGGGUGAGUAACGCGUGAGAAUCUGCCUUCAGGAGGGGGAUAACGACUGGAAACGGUCGCUAAUACCCCAUAUGCCUCCGGGUGAAAAGUAAUUCGCCUGAAGAUGAGCUCGCGUCAGAUUAGCUAGUUGRUGGGGUAAGAGCCUACCAAGGCGACGAUCUGUAGCUGGUCUGAGAGGAUGAUCAGCCACACUGGGACUGAGACACGGCCCAGACUCCUACGGGGGGCAGCAGUGGGGAAUUUUCCGCAAUGGGCGCAAGCCUGACGGAGCAAGACCGCGUGGGGGAUGACGGCCUAAWUGGUUGUAAACCCCCUUUUCUCUGGGAAGAAGACUGACGGUACCAGAGGAAUCAGCCUCGGCUAACUCCGUGCCAGCAGCCGCGGUAAUACGGAGGAGGCAAGCGUUAUCCGGAAUUAUUGGGCGUAAAGCGUCCGUAGGUGGUUAUUCAAGUCUGCUGUCAAAGCGUGGGGCUUAACUCCAUAGAGGCAGUGGAAACUGAGUGACUAGAGUGCGGUAGGGGUCGAGGGAAUUCCCAGUGUAGCGGUGAAAUGCGUAGAUAUUGGGAAGAACACCAGUGGCGAAAGCGCUCGACUGGGCCUGCACUGACACUGAGGGACGAAAGCUAGGGGAGCGAAAGGGAUUAGAUACCCCUGUAGUCCUAGCCGUAAACGAUGGAUACUAGGUGUUGCUCGUCAUCGACCCGAGCAGUGCCGUAGCCAACGCGU
rnacentral:rRNA from 1 species